GUGAGGAAUAUUGGUCAAUGGACGAGAGUCUGAACCAGCCAAGUCGCGUGAAGGAAGACGGUUCUAUGAAUUGUAAACUUCUUUUGUGCAGGAAUAAAGUGGGUUACGUGUAACCUUUUGUAUGUACUGUACGAAUAAGGAUCGGCUAACUCCGUGCCAGCAGCCGCGGUAAUACGGAGGAUCCGAGCGUUAUCCGGAUUUAUUGGGUUUAAAGGGUGCGUAGGUGGAUUGAUAAGUCAGCGGUGAAAGUUUGCAGCUUAACUGUAAAAUUGCCGUUGAAACUGUCGGUCUUGAGUGCAAAUGAGGUAGGCGGAAUGUGUUGUGUAGCGGUGAAAUGCUUAGAUAUAACACAGAACACCGAUUGCGAAGGCAGCUUACUGGGAUGCAACUGACACUGAUGCACGAAAGCGUGGGUAUCAAACAGGAUUAGAUACCCCGGUAGUCC
rnacentral:rRNA from 1 species